rnacentral:rRNA from 1 species
AUUGAACGCAGGCGGCAGGCUUAACACAUGCAAGUCGAGCGGAGAGAGGUAGCUUGCUACUGAUCUUAGCGGCGGACGGGUGAGUAAUGCUUAGGAAUCUGCCUAUUAGUGGGGGACAACAUUUCGAAAGGAAUGCUAAUACCGCAUACGUCCUACGGGAGAAAGCAGGGGACCUUCGGACCUUGCGCUAAUAGAUGAGCCUAAGUCGGAUUAGCUAGUUGGUGGGGUAAAGGCCUACCAAGGCGACGAUCUGUAGCGGGUCUGAGAGGAUGAUCCGCCACACUGGAACUGAGACACGGCCCAGACUCCUACGGGAGGCAGCAGUGGGGAAUAUUGGACAAUGGGGGGAACCCUGAUCCAGCCAUGCCGCGUGUGUGAAGAAGGCCUUAUGGUUGUAAAGCACUUUAAGCGAGGAGGAGGCUCUUUUGGUUAAUACCCAAGAUGAGUGGACGUUACUCGCAGAAUAAGCACCGGCUAACUCUGUGCCAGCCGCCGCCGUAA